rnacentral:misc_RNA from 1 species
CCUAGUUUCAACAGUGAUGGUGAGACAAGAACAAGCUUUUUAGUGGCAGGACAAAGUGUUCUGAAGUGUAACAGAUCAGAGAUAUCUCAUCACUCUCGACAAUGCUUGACAGCUACAUGUAGCAUUGAUGAAGAGACAAGACCAGACCCCUGGGAGACAAUUUUCUGGAUUGUAACACAUCACCAGAUAUUUGCUACUGCCAACACUACUCACUUGGAGGAGCACUAUCACCUCUUGGUUGACAAGAUCUACAAGAUCCAGAAGGAGCUGCAGCAGAAGCAACAGAAGAGGAUGCAGGAUUCAGGAGGUACUGAUGCUGCCGCUGGAGGCAUCCUCACGAUGGCAGCAGCGCAGCUGUCCCAGCCACAGCCUCCCCACUAACUGCCCAGACCUGUCCAUUGGGAAAAUGUAGCUCUUUCAACCAACGUGUAUCAGAAUUAUGCGGUACAUAACUAUAUGGUCUUGAAGGGUUAUUUUGGUGUCAGUGUUGCUUUGGCUCAGCAAUGAAAAGUGGACUGGUAGAAUGGGGCGUCAGGUUGGCAUAGUGACACUUUUGUCACCUGCCACUUCUGUGAAUCCAGCCCAGGUUUAAUUUGUGGAUUUUUUAGUCUUUACUUAACUUUGUGGAUUUUUCUCAUCUCUAUAAUAAUCCUGGGGAGUUUUUCCUUCCACUUCUUAAACUGAACACUAUCCUUAUA